rnacentral:rRNA from 1 species
UCCUACGGGGCGCAGCAGUGGGGAAUCUUCCGCAAUGGGCGCAAGCCUGACGGAGCAAUGCCGCGUGAACGAAGAAGGUCUUCGGAUUGUAAAGUUCUGUCCUUAUCGAAGAGAGGGUAUAGAGUGAAAAAUGAUAUACUAGGACGGUAGAUGAGGAGGAAGCCCCGGCUAACUACGUGCCAGCAGCCGCGGUAAUACGUAGGGGGCGAGCGUUAAUCGGAAUUACUGGGCGUAAAGCGCUCGUAGGCGGUAUGUCAAGUCAAGGGUGAAAUCCCCGCGCUCAACGUGGGAACUGCCUGUGAAAC